CUAUGAGGAUGUUCUCUGCACACUGGACUCUCAUAAGUCUGCAGCUGCAUCCACCUCUCUGGUGGCUCCUCCACUCAAAGAGACAGAUCCAGUACUGCAUAUGGAUGCUUCAGUCUUACCCUGUCUGCUGGGACUGACCAGGGAUGACCACUUGUGUCUGAGCUUGGCAACACCUUGGGAAUUGAAUAUCUGCAGUAGUGUCCUCGCCUUCAUCUACCUCACAGCAUUUCAAUGCAGUUCACUUGCUGCACUAGAGUAUAAGCUCCAGGCUAUCCUGUUCAUAGACAAGGACAACCUUUGGCACAUAGUAUAUGCUGAAAAAUAUUACAUCUCAUCACUUGCUUUUGGAAGGGUGAUUGAAAGCUCUCCUCAUCCUCUUGACAAAGUCACUUCAGCCAUCUUCUUCCUCUGGGAAAUGGCAACAACUGUAGCAGCAUGCCUGGACCCUGAAAUGGAAGCUACUUGAAGCUACUUGAGGGGGAAGGUGGACCCACCAGGUCAUAAAGCAAAGCUAUUCACCAAUCCAUCCAACUGUGGGCUAUUUAUCUGCCCUGGGCUACUGCAGGAGAAAAAUAAACUUCUGCUUAUGUAAGUCA
rnacentral:lncRNA from 1 species